rnacentral:rRNA from 1 species
AAUGAACGCUGGCGGCAGGCCUAACACAUGCAAGUCGAACGAAGCCUUCGGGCUUAGUGGCGGACGGGUGAGUAACGCGUGGGAACGUGCCCUUUGCUUCGGAAUAGCCCCGGGAAACUGGGAGUAAUACCGAAUGUGCCCUACGGGGGAAAGAUUUAUCGGCAAAGGAUCGGCCCGCGUUGGAUUAGGUAGUUGGUGGGGUAAUGGCCUACCAAGCCGACGAUCCAUAGCUGGUUUGAGAGGAUGAUCAGCCACACUGGGACUGAGACACGGCCCAGACUCCUACGGGAGGCAGCAGUGGGGAAUCUUAGACAAUGGGGGAAACCCUGAUCUAGCCAUGCCGCGUGAUCGAUGAAGGCCUUAGGGUUGUAAAGAUCCUUCAGGUGGGAAGAUAAUGACUGUACCACCAGAAGAAGCCCCGGCUAACUCCGUGCCAGCCGCCGCCGUAAUAC